rnacentral:rRNA from 1 species
AAUGGAUUUACGAAAAAUGGCUUUUUUAAAUUCAAUAAUUGAAUUUAUUUUUAUUUGUGAGGAAACAAUAAUAAAUAUUAAGGACAAGAAGACCCUAAGAAUUUUAAAAGAAUUAAUAUUUGAAUCAAAAUUUAUAUCUUUUUAAUUGGGGCGAUUAAGAAAUAUUAAUAACUUUCUUUACUAUACCAAAAUGAACCGUUAAUAGCGGUAAUAUGAUAAAAAUACUCUAGGGAUAACAGCGUAAUAAUUUUUGAUAGUUCAUAUAGACAAAAUAGUUUGCGACCUCGAUGUUGGAUUAGGAUACUUUUUUAAUGAAGAAGUUAAAAUAAGGAGUUUGUUCAACUUUUAAAAUCCUA